GCGUCGACGCGCUGGCUGAGAAGUGAGAAGCUACGGUAUCGUUGACAGUUCGUUCGUGUGUCUAGGUUUAAGUUGGUGAACUUUCUCUGGUGGCAUUUCCCAUGUCCUUUCUCCAGUCCCCGGACGUCCAUCUCAUCCACUUUGACAGGAACAACCUCAGACAUGUCGAGCGUGAUAUUGAAAGGUGUAGAUUGCCUGAACACUGUAGGACACUUGCUAUGUUCAUGAUCAUGAACAUAUUGUAUCAUAUUUUAAACUAUUUGUAUCAUAUUUUAAACCUGAACUCAAACUUAAACUAUUCUCAUUUGCCCUCAUUGUAAAGGUUGCUGGACUCUGUGCAUUGGAAACUGACAAUAAAAAUGAAAAACUUAA